AGUGAACGCUGGCGGUAGGCCUAACACAUGCAAGUCGAACGGCAGCACAGUAAGAGCUUGCUCUUACGGGUGGCGAGUGGCGGACGGGUGAGGGAUACAUCGGAAUCUACUUUUUCGUGGGGGAUAACGUAGGGAAACUUACGCUAAUACCGCAUACGACCUACGGGUGAAAGCAGGAGAUCUUCGGACCUUGCGCGAUUGAAUGAGCCGAUGUCGGAUUAGCUAGUUGGCGGGGUAAAGGCCCACCAAGGCGACGAUCCGUAGCUGGUCUGAGAGGAUGAUCAGCCACACUGGAACUGAGACACGGUCCAGACUCCUACGGGAGGCAGCAGUGGGGAAUAUUGGACAAUGGGCGCAAGCCUGAUCCAGCCAUACCGCGUGGGUGAAGAAGGCCUUCGGGUUGUAAAGCCCUUUUGUUGGGAAAGAAAAGCAGCAGGUUAAUACCCCGCUGUUCUGACGGUACCCAAAGAAUAAGCACCGGCUAACUUCGUG
rnacentral:rRNA from 1 species